rnacentral:rRNA from 1 species
CUGGCUUUAUUUGGACGGUAAUCAACCAGAAAGUCACGGCUAACUACGUGCAGCAGCCGCGGUAUACGUAGGUGGCAAGCGUUGGUCCGGAUUUAUUGGCGUAAAGCGAGCGCAGGCGGAAGAAUAAGUCUGAUGGGAAAGCCCUCGGCUUAACCGAGGAACUGCAUCGGAACUGUUUUUCUUGAGUGCAGAAGAGGAGAGUGGAACUCCAUGUGUAGCGGUGGAAUGCGUAGAUAUAUGGAAGAACACCAGUGGCGAAGGCGACUCUCUGGUCUGCAACUGACGCUGAGGCUCGAAAGCAUGGGUAGCGAACAGGAUUAGAUACCCUGGUAGUCCAUGCCGUAAACGAUGAGUGCUAAGUGUUGGGAGGUUUCCGCCUCUCAGUGCUGCAGCUAACGCAUUAAGCACUCCGCCUGGGGAGUACGACCGCAAGGUUGAAACUCAAAGGAAUUGACGGGGGCCCGCACAAGCGGUGGAGCAUGUGGUUUAAUUCGAAGCAACGCGAAGAACCUUACCAGGUCUUGACAUCUAGUGCCAUCCUAAGAGAUUAGGAGUUCCCUUCGGGGACGCUAAGACAGGUGGUGCAUGGCUGUCGUCAGCUCGUGUCGUGAGAUGUUGGGUUAAGUCCCGCAACGAGCGCAACCCUUGUUAUUAGUUGCCAGCAUUAAGUUGGGCACUCUAAUGAGACUGCCGGUGAUAAACCGGAGGAAGGUGGGGAUGACGUCAAGUCAUCAUGCCCCUUAUGACCUGGGCUACACACGUGCUACAAUGGACAGUACAACGAGAAGCGAGCCUGCGAAGGCAAGCGAAUCUCUGAAAGCUGUUCUCAGUUCGGACUGCAGUCUGCAACUCGACUGCACGAAGCUGGAAUCGCUAGUAAUCGCGGAUCAGAACGCCGCGGUGAAUACGUUCCCGGGCCUUGUACACACCGCCCGUCACACCAUGGAAGUCUGCAAUGCCCAAAGCCGGUGGCCUAACCUUCGGGAAGGAGCCGUCUAAGGCAGGGCAGAUGACUGGGGUGAAGUC